CGCAAUCGCCCUUCGGGGUGCAGCAGGCGCGAAAACUUUACAAUGCGGGAAACCGUGAUAAGGGGACACCGAGUGCCAGCAUCAUAUGCUGGCUGUCCGGGUGUGUAAAAUACACCCGUUAGCAAGGGCCGGGCAAGACCGGUGCCAGCCGCCGCGGUAACACCGGCGGCCCGAGUGGUGAUCGUGAUUAUUGGGUCUAAAGGGUCCGUAGCCGGUUUGGUCAGUCCUCCGGGAAAUCUGACGGCUCAACCGUUAGGCUUUCGGGGGAUACUGCCAGGCUUGGAACCGGGAGAGGUAAGAGGUACUACAGGGGUAGGAGUGAAAUCUUGUAAUCCCUGUGAGACCACCUGUGGCGAAGGCGUCUUACCAGAACGGGUUCGACGGUGAGGGACGAAAGCUGGGGGCACGAACCGGAUUAGAUACCCGGGUAGUCCCAGCCGUAAACGAUGCUCGCUAGGUGUCAGGCAUGGCGCGACCGUGUCUGGUGCCGCAGGGAAGCCGUGAAGCGAGCCACCUGGGAAGUACGACCGCAAGGUUGAAACUUAAAGGAAUUGGCGGGGGAGCAC
rnacentral:rRNA from 1 species